rnacentral:rRNA from 1 species
UCGAGCGGACAGACGGGAGCUCGGCUCCCUGAUGUUAGCGGCGGACGGGUGAGUAACACGUGGGUAACCUGCCUGUAAGACUGGGAUAACUCCGGGAAACCGGGGCUAAUACCGGAUGGUUGUUUGAACCGCAUGGUUCAAACAUAAAAGGUGGCUUCGGCUACCACUUACAGAUGGACCCGCGGCGCAUUAGCUAGUUGGUGAGGUAACGGCUCACCAAGGCAACGAUGCGUAGCCGACCUGAGAGGGUGAUCGGCCACACUGGGACUGAGACACGGCCCAGACUCCUACGGGAGGCAGCAGUAGGGAAUCUUCCGCAAUGGACGAAAGUCUGACGGAGCAACGCCGCGUGAGUGAUGAAGGUUUUCGGAUCGUAAAGCUCUGUUGUUAGGGAAGAACAAGUACCGUUCGAAUAGGGCGGUACCUUGACGGUACCUAACCAGAAAGCCACGGCUAACUACGUGCCAGCAGCCGCGGUAAUACGUAGGUGGCAAGCGUUGUCCGGAAUUAUUGGGCGUAAAGGGCUCGCAGGCGGUUUCUUAAGUCUGAUGUGAAAGCCCCCGGCUCAACCGGGGAGGGUCAUUGGAAACUGGGGAACUUGAGUGCAGAAGAGGAGAGUGGAAUUCCACGUGUAGCGGUGAAAUGCGUAGAGAUGUGGAGGAACACCAGUGGCGAAGGCGACUCUCUGGUCUGUAACUGACGCUGAGGAGCGAAAGCGUGGGGAGCGAACAGGAUUAGAUACCCUGGUAGUCCACGCCGUAAACGAUGAGUGCUAAGUGUUAGGGGGGUUUCCGCCCCUUAGUGCUGCAGCUAACGCAUUAAGCACUCCGCCUGGGGAGUACGGUCGCAAGACUGAAACUCAAAGGAAUUGACGGGGGCCCGCACAAGCGGUGGAGCAUGUUGGUUUAAUUCGAAGCAACGCGAAGAACCUUACCAGGUCUUGACAUCCUCUGACAUCCUAGAGAUAGGACGUCCCCUUCGGGGGCAAAGUGACAGGGGUUGCAUGGUUGUCGUCAGCUCUGUCCUGAGAAGUUUGGGUUAAGUCCCGCAACGAGCGCAACCCUUGAUCUUAGUUGCCAGCAUUCAGUUGGGCACUCUAAGGUGACUGCCGUGACAACCCCAGAAAAAGGGGGGGAUGAAGUCAAAUCAUCAGGCCCCUUAUAACUGGGGUACAACCUGGUUAAAUGGAAGGAACAAGGGAGCGAAACCCCCGGGUUAGCAAUCCCCAAAUUUGUUCUC